CAAACGUUGCUCGGAAUUAUUGGGCGUAAAGCGCACGUAGGUGGUCCUUUAAGUCGGAUGUGAAAGCCCCAGGCUCAACUUGGGAAGUGCAUCCGAAACUGCAGAGCUUGAGUACCGGAGAGGAUGGCGGAAUUCCCCAAGUAGAGGUGAAAUUCGUAGAUAUGGGGAGGAACACCGGUGGCGAAGGCGGCCAUCUGGACGGAUACUGACGCUGAGACGCGAAAGCGUGGGUAGCAAACAGG
rnacentral:rRNA from 1 species